CGAGGGGUCUAAGCGUUGUUCGGAAUCACUGGGCGUAAAGCGGGUGUAGGUGGCUAUGCAAGUUGGAUGUGAAAUCCCCGGGGCUCAACCCGGGGAAGUGCAUCCAAAACUACGUAGCUUGAGUGCGGGAGAGAAAGGCAGAAUUCCUGGUGUAGUGGUGAAAUACGUAGAUAUCAGGAGGAACUCCGGUGGCGAAGGCGGCCUUUUGGCCCAGCACUGACACUCAGACCCGAAAGCGUGGGUAGCAAACAGGAUU
rnacentral:rRNA from 1 species